AGAAUCAUUCACAAUGGGGGAAACCCUGAUGGUGCAACGCCGCGUGGAGGAUGAAGGCCCUAGGGUCGUAAACUCCUGUCAUCGGAGAGUAAGCCUUGGUCGUUAAUAGCUUCCAAGGUUGAUAGUAUCCGAAGAGGAAGGGACGGCUAACUUCGUGCCAGCAGCCGCGGUAAUACGAAGGUCCCAAGCGUUGUUCGGAAUCACUGGGCGUAAAGAGUAUGUAGGCGGUGUGGAAAGUCAGAUGUGAAAUCUCCGGGCUCAACCCGGAAACUGCAUCCGAUACUACCACACUAGAGUAAUGGAGGGGUGACUGGAAUUCUCGGUGUAGCAGUGAAAUGCGUAGAUAUCGAGAGGAACACUCGUGGCGAAGGCGAGUCACUGGACAUUUACUGACGCUGAGAUACGAAGGCCAGGGUAGCGAA
rnacentral:rRNA from 1 species